ACAGAGAGUGCAAACGUUGUUCGGAAUUACUGGGCUUGAAGCGCACGUAGGCGGCGUUGUAAGUGUCGGGUGAAAUCCCACGGCUCACCCGUGGAACUGCCCGGCAUACUGCGAUGCUAGAGUGUGGUAGGGGAGAGCGGAACUCCUGGUGGAGCGGUGAAAUGCGUAGAUAUCAGGAGGAACACCGGUGGCGAAGGCGGCUCUCUGGUCCACAACUGACGCUGAGGUGCGAAAGCUAGGGGAGCAAACGGGA
rnacentral:rRNA from 1 species